AGUGCAGUUAGAAUAUGGAAUCCACCUCGAACUCGGUUUAAAAAACAGAAAGCAUAUGGAAUUUUGCUCUAUCAGUCUGCAGUUAUUUGGUUCAUCGUCGCGCCUCAAGUUUCCAACAGCGCCGUGGCUGUACACCGUCGACUUCGCCGGAAAUCCGUCUGCACAUACUCUACUGUCCGCCGAAACUUUGUCUGACCUGAGUUAUUUGGCUCAUCGUCACGCCUCAAGUUUCCGACAGCGCCGUGGCUGUACACCGCCGACUUUGCCGGAAAUCUGUCUGCACAUACUCUACUAUCCGCCGAAACUUCGUCUGACCUGAGGUACAUACUACAGUGUCAUCGAUUUGUAUCUGUCAUCAACUACUUACUUCUUAAGUCUGUAUAGCAUCAACUAUACUACUUAUUAAAAGGGAGAAAGAGAGGAUAUGUUAGAGCUAGAUGAA